rnacentral:rRNA from 1 species
UACGUAGGGACCAAGCGUUGUUCGGAUUUACUGGGCGUAAAGCGUGCGCAGGCGGCUUUGCAAGACAGAUGUGAAAUCCCCGGGCUCAACCUGGGAACUGCGUUUGUGACUGCAGGGCUGGAGUGCGGCAGAGGGGGAUGGAAUUCCGCGUGUAGCAGUGAAAUGCGUAGAUAUGCGGAGGAACACCGAUGGCGAAGGCAAUCCCCUGGGCCUGCACUGACGCUCAUGCACGAAAGCGUGGGGAGCAAACAGG